rnacentral:rRNA from 1 species
AUUGAACGCUGGCGGCAGGCCUAACACAUGCAAGUCGAACGGUAGCACAGAGAGCUUGCUCUUGGGUGACGAGUGGCGGACGGGUGAGUAAUGUCUGGGAAACUGCCCGAUGGAGGGGGAUAACUACUGGAAACGGUAGCUAAUACCGCAUAACGUCUUCGGACCAAAGUGGGGGACCUUCGGGCCUCACACCAUCGGAUGUGCCCAGGUGGGAUUAGCUAGUAGGUGGGGUAAUGGCUCACCUAGGCGACGAUCCCUAGCUGGUCUGAGAGGAUGACCAGCCACACUGGAACUGGGACACGGUCCAGACUCCUACGGGAGGCAGCAGUGGGGAAUAUUGCACAAUGGGCGCAAGCCUGAUGCAGCCAUGCCGCGUGUAUGAAGAAGGCCUUCGGGUUGUAAAGUAUUUUCAGCGGGGAGGAAGGCGAUGGAGUUAAUAGCUUCAUCGAUUGACGUUACCCGCAGAAGAAGCACCGGCUAACUCCGUGCCAGCCGCCGCAGUAA